UACGGAGGAUCCGAGCGUUAUCCGGAUUUAUUGGGUUUAAAGGGUGCGUAGGCGGCCUAUUAAGUCAGGGGUGAAAGACGGCAGCUUAACUGUCGCAGUGCCUUUGAUACUGAUGAGCUUGAAUGUGGUUGAAGAUGGCGGAAUGAGACAAGUAGCGGUGAAAUGCAUAGAUAUGUCUCAGAACUCCGAUUGCGAAGGCAGCUGUCUAAGUCAUUAUUGACGCUGAUGCACGAAAGCGUGGGGAGCGAACAGG
rnacentral:rRNA from 1 species